GACGAACGCUGGCGGCGUGCCUAAUACAUGCAAGUAGAACGCUGAAGGAGGAGCUUGCUUCUCUGGAUGAGUUGUGAACGGGUGAGUAACGCGUAGGUAACCUACCUGGUAGCGGGGGAUAACUAUUGGAAACGAUAGCUAAUACCGCAUAAGAGUAGAUGUCGCAUGACAUUUGCUUAAAAGGUGCAAUUGCAUCACUACCAGAUGGACCUGCGUUGUAUUAGCUAGUUGGUGAGGUAACGGCUCACCAAGGCAACGAUACAUAGCCGACCUGAGAGGGUGAUCGGCCACACUGGGACUGAGACACGGCCCAGACUCCUACGGGAGGCAGCAGUAGGGAAUCUUCGGCAAUGGACGGAAGUCUGACCGAGCAACGCCGCGUGAGUGAAGAAGGUUUUCGGAUCGUAAAGCUCUGUUGUAAGAGAAGAACGAGUGUGAGAGUGGAAAGUUCACACUGUGACGGUAUCUUACCAGAAAGGGACGGCUAACUACGUG
rnacentral:rRNA from 1 species